CGCGCACAAUAGGGAAUGGCUGUUAAGUGCACUACAUCAGGAAAGAACGAACGAAAGCAAAGCACCUGCCUAAAUAUAAAAGAGAACUUCACUGGAGUGACUAACAGAUGGCCACGCUGUUGGGGAUUCUGUCUGGAGACAGAUACCAGUAGGGCAGCUCCAGAGUUUCAUUUCGCUUCCUGAUGAU